AACGAACGCUGGCGGCGUGCCUAAUACAUGCAAGUAGGACGCAGUUGCGAACGAGGGAGUAACGCGUAGGUAACUACCUAUUAGAGGGGGGUAACUAGUGGAAACGAUAGCUAAUACCGCAUACUAGUAGAUGGACCUGCGUUGUAUUAGGUAGUAGGUAGGGUAAUGGCCUAACUAGGCAACGAUACAUAGCCGAGCUUAGAGGGUGAUCUGCCAAACUGGGAAUGGGACACGGCCCAAGAUCCUACGGGAGGCAGCAGGAGGGAAUCUUCGGCAAUGGGGGGAACCCUGAACGAGCAAGUCCGCGUGAGUGAAGAAGGGUUUUGGAUCGGAAAGCUCUGUUGUUACGGAAGCGGUACUUAACCAGAAAGGGACGGCUAACUACGUGCCAGCAGCCGCGGUAAUUC
rnacentral:rRNA from 1 species